UACGAACUGUGCGAACGUUAUUCGGAAUUACUGGGCGUAAAGGGCGCGUAGGCGGCCUGCUAAGUCACACGUGAAAUCCCUCGGCUCAACCGGGGAACUGCGUGUGAUACUGGAUGGCUUGAAUCCGGGAGAGGGAUGUGGAAUUCCAGGUGUAGCGGUGAAAUGCGUAGAUAUCAGGAGGAACACCGGUGGCGAAGGCGCACACCUGGCCCGAUACUGACGCUGAGGCGCGAAAGCGUGGGGAGCGAACAGG
rnacentral:rRNA from 1 species